rnacentral:tRNA from 1 species
GUGCCAGUAGCUCAGUUGGAUAGAGCGUCGGUCUACGGAACCGAAGGUCACGGGUUCGAAUCCUGUCUGGCACGCCA